UCUCUCUGUUACACUUGGCGUAGCAUGUGAUUUGUUUCCUGAAUUGGUUCGUGGAUAGUUUUUGUGAUCAGCAAUCAUGGAGACUUCUGAUGACACUAGUGCACCAACUGUUUGGAUGGAGUAUCUCACAGGUGAAAUUGAGAAGCUUGCCGAUGAUGGUACUGUUUAGAAGAAGUGGAGUUCUGACAACUCCCUGGUCAUGUCAUUCUCGUUGAACUCGUUGAACCCUAAUAGUGCUAAGGGUUAUUUGUUGAUGAAUACUGCUGCCAAGAUCUGGAAGGCGGCUAAGGAUACCUAUUUUUAGGUAUGUGGCAGGAGCUGGAUAUUUAUGAUGAUUUUCAAGCUAUUUGUUCUAUUGAUGCUACUGCUUUCAAGAAACGUGAAGACAAGUUCUGAGUGUAUGACUUCAUGGCAUCAUGGCUGGUUUGACUUUAUGGGCAGCCAGCCAAUUCCAGGGGUCAUGGUCGUUCUAAUCAGUCUCAGGAAAACCAGAUUGAAACAACUGCUACAUUUGAUACUGCUGUCCCAUUGGUGUUUCCCUCUCACAGGUGAGUUCUCUUUUGCGUCGUUUGAUGACCAAGUUGGAGCCCUCAUCUUCCUUUACUGUUGCUGCUACCUCUAUGCUGGUCACUUUUGAGUCCCACUCUGCUCACUCAGGUAUUUCUUUUGGUGGUCAUUGUGCAUCUGUUGUAUCCUAUGAUCCUAUUCUUGAAUAGUUGACUUCGGGGCAACAGAUCAUAUGACUGGUUCUCCUUGUCAUUUUUCUCAAUAUUCUCCAUCAUAUAGUAAAAUCAAUGGUAAGGGUUACUGAUGGUUCUCUCUCCUCUGUUUCUAGGAUGGAACUAUUCAAUGCUCUCCUUUGUUAUCCUGUUCAUCUGUGUUGCAUGGCCCAACUUUUGUACUAAUCUCUUAUCUAUUAAUAGUAUCACUAGGGGCUUGAAUUGCAAAGUUAUCUUUUUUCCUUCUCAUUGUCUAUUUUAGGACUUGGUGACGGGGCAACGAUUGGCAGUGGUAAAGUGAGUGGAGGUCUCUACUUGCUCGACAAUGCUUCUUCCUCAAUUCCUCGACUCGGGCUCAUCACAUUGAUUUGAAGUUUGCUUUAUCAGAGUUAUAUAAAUGGCAUCACCAUUUACGACAUCCCCCUUUAGGAACUAUAUCUAGACUUUUUUUUGAUUUAAUUUAGUGUAAUCCGAACCAGUUUUGUUGUGAUGCUUGUGUUUAGUGUUUACUCUAUUUCGAUUAGUUCUUUUUUUUUUGGGUGAAUAAAUAAUUCAUUACCCUUAGAAAAGAGGGAAAAAGAAAAGAAAGAGGCCCAGUAUAAGGGGGCACAUUCCUGAUGAUGGAGCUAGGCAGCUCCCAGGAAUUUACAAUAUGACAGUUCCUAGUGGAUGGAUCACAAAAGGAGGAGAUCCUUGAGAUCUUUGCUUUGACAUCGAAGGAGAUGGAGCACCAAAUCUUAUCCAGCGAGCGAGAGUUGGAAGGUCCAUUUCCUAUGAUUUCUUUCCAUUUAGAUCUGAUUGAUUGUUGCACAGAAGGCAAGAUUUCCCACCAGGUCGCAUAUAGACUUGCCCCGGAAGGUUAUGUCUACCCAAAUCCAUUCUCUAUGGAGAGGGAGGAUUCUUCUAGUAGCAGGCAAACAUUUGGCAGGAACCAUUUUCCAGAUUGAGUUGGAGAAUGUGCAAACGAAGAAGAGGUGAUCCACAAAUUUUGGCUCAAUCCCACAAAGGAUGCACAUGGGAUCAAUCGGGAUGCCUCUUUGGAUGAGAAAUCAAUGCGUAUUCAAGGAGUUAGUGAAUACUCUCCAGGCUGUGAAGCUAUGCCGUGGGAUGUGAUGAAGAAGACAAUGGAGUUUAUGCCAAGGGGUGGCGGUACCAUGAAUCUUAACAAAAUCCCAAGCAGCCUUGGCGGAGAAAAUCUUGGAAGAAGAGGGCAUCCAAAUUAAGAUUUAGAACCAAUGAUGCUAGAAUUAAGAUUUUGUGCAUUGAUAAUGGAAGGAGUAUGUGGAUGGCUCUUUUUAGUCUUAUUUGGCACAUCACGGUAUUGUCCAUCCGAUUAGUUUUGUUGACACCCGAACACAGAAUGGUGUAGCUGAAAGGAAGAACAGACAGGUCCCUUAAAUUUGAGAUGCAUGUCCCAGUGAAUACUGGAGUGAGGCAGUCUUUGCUGUUGCAUACCUUAUUAAUUGGAUGCCAUCAUGGGUCUUGGAAUCCUGUUGUCCUCUUAAGGUGCUUACUGGAUCUACCUCCUUUGUGGCUCCUUCCAAGGUACUUGGCUAUGCUUGUUUUGCUUGAAAUCAACACUUCUAUGGAAAAUUCGAUCCAAGGGGUCUUCGUUGUAUUUUUCUUGGGUACUCUGCCACAUAGAAAGGGUACAGAUGUUAUUGCUGGCUUCUUGUUGCAUGCUGGUCAAGAUGGAUGUGGUGUUUCAUGAGAUAGAGGCCUAUUAUCUUGUUGGCACCUCUUCAGGUGGAAUCUGCUACUGUACGAGAAGAUGAGCCAAUGGUUGUUUCUCUUGAUCGCAAUCUCUUUUUUCAUUAGGAAUAAGAGACCGUGGGUGAGAAGGGGAUGAUGCUAGAUAGUUCUAUUCGGGGGAGCCGAAAUCUGCUUAGAAGGAGCCAUAUCAGGUGUAUUUUCGUCAAAAGAAGAAAGACACCAUUACCACUGUACCUAGCCAAUCGUCCUCUAAUCUAGAGUCCAACAUCUCGUCCGGUAACCUCUUCCCGUUUAGUGAUCCUUCUAUUGAUCUCCCUAUUGCUGUCUAUAAAGGAAAUAGGACCUACACACAACAUUCUUUCUCCAAUGUCGUGUCUUAUAAUUCCAAAUCUCCUUUUUAUCGUGUUUCUUUUUUCUUCUUUGUCGUUUGUUUCUAGUCCUCAAAACUGAGAGGAAGCUUUUGCAAAACCGCAGUGGAAAGAUGCUAUGGACGAAGAAAUGAGGGCACUUGGGAAAAAUGACAUGUGAGACUUGGUGGCUCUUCUACCACUUAAGAAGCCAGUGGGAUGCAAAUGGGUGUUUACAAUGAAACAAAAUGUGGAUGGAACUAUGGACAAGUACAAAGCUAGAUUGGUGGCCAAAGGAUUUACCCAAACUUUGGUGGAUUUGCUGGCUAUGACAAUUCUACUGGGGUUGAAAUUUUUGUAUCUACCAUCAUGAGGGAAUAAUUUGUAAUGCCUGAUCUACUUCUGCAGUUUUAGAGUCCUCCCAAAAGGCUGGGGGGGUGGGGAGGUGGAUGAAAGCAUUCGUCUGCAAUGGUUGCUUUUGAUGCCUCGCAAAUUCAAGAUGUACUUAGGCUUGAUAAACUGCUGCAAGUUUUUUCCAAACUACUUGGCAAGUAACUGGUCUUGCUUUGCUGGAAUUCAAUUGAUCAAACAUUUGUCCAGGGAGAGAGCUACUUAAAAAAAUCCCAGCUAGGAUUUAAGCUAAGAUAUGAACCAGAACUCAUAUGUGGUUGGCUUUCACAAUUCUGACGCAUUGUUCUUCAACCUAAGAUGAAAAGAUGGAAGCUCGUAUUAGCAAAAAUCCAAUGUUUAAAUCUGCUGGAACAUGAAUUCUGUUGUUGAUUGUUGGAAAAAGAAUGGUCUAUUUAGCAUUUUUCAUUUGCAUGUGGUGAGCCCCAUUUUGUGUAAAAAUUAAUGAAUUUUCCCCGU